rnacentral:rRNA from 1 species
UACGUAGGGUGCAAGCGUUAAUCGGAAUUACUGGGCGUAAAGCGUACGCAGGCGGCUUUGCAAGACAGGUGUGAAAUCCCCGGGCUUAACCUGGGAACUGCAUUUGUGACUGCAUGGCUAGAGUUUGUCAGAGGGGGGUGGAAUUCCACGUGUAGCAGUGAAAUGCGUAGAUAUGUGGAGGAACACCGAUGGCGAAGGCAGCCCCCUGGGAUGUGACUGACGCUCAUGUACGAAAGCGUGGGGAGCAAACAGG